rnacentral:rRNA from 1 species
UUGUAGGGUUCCUAUUUGCAUAAGGCUGGGGUCGGAGACUUAAAAGCUCAAAGGAGUGGACGGGCUGCCUCCUGUAAGAUAAGGGGCCCAUGACGGUUCCGUAAGAAUAAGCACCGGCUAACUACGUGCCAGCAGCCGUGGUAAUACGUAAGGUGCGAGCGUUAAUCGGAAUUACUGGGCGUAAAGCGUGCGCAGGCGGUUAUCUAAGACAGAUGUGAAAUCCCCGGGCUCAACCUGGGAACUGCAUUUGUGACUGUAUAGCUAGAGUGCGGCAGACGGGGAUGGAAUUCCGCGUGUAACAGUGAAAUGCGUAAAUAUGCGGACGAACACCGAUGGCGAAGGCAAUCCCCUGGGCCUGCACUGACGCUCAUGCACGAAAGCGUGGGGAGCAAACAGGAUUACAUACCCUGGUAGUCCACGCCCUAAACGAUGUCAACUGGUUGUUGGGUCUUCACUGACUCAGUAACGAAGCUAACGCGUGAAGUUGACCGCCUGGGAGUAGCCGAAAGUUAAACUCAAA